CCAUAACAUAACCUAACAAAAAAACAACAAGUGAACCAUACCAUAAACGUAAACGCGCUUCAUCCAAACUAUUUUAAUAAUUAAAACAUGUUAAAACACUGAGAUAAAGUAAAGUAUCUAUUUUAAGGGGAGUGAAUUUAAUGUUCUAAAACCAUGAGACCUCGAAAAAAAAUAGGUUAUACUAAAAAUAUUUUAAAAUUCAACCAAAACAAAAGGAGCCAAAAUCUUAUUAAGUCAAUGUUACGCAAAUAUGACUUCAAUAUUGUACAUUAAACUGGAUUCAGACUAAAGUGAUUCUUUAUUAUCCUCUGUACAUCAUCAAAGUAGUAGUAUCUGGUAGUAUCAUUUCUGUUCUAAUAAGUGUAGUUCCAGUGCUGAAAUUUCCUACAAUAUAGUAUUUAUAUAGGUAUUUAUAAUUAUUAGGUUCGAGAAUUAUCUAGACUUGGUGGUUCAGGAGUAGCACAAAGUACAAGGAAAGCGCUUUAUAAGGUUCUGGGCAAUGAAAUUGCACAAAAAUAUUCUUGGGAUGGGGCCAAACAGAAGAGAAGUUUGAAAUCAUUGUUAGUGGCCAAAAGCAAUUUUAGACUCCAUGAAAGGUCAAUUUCAAGAGUCAAAAGAAACCGAAAUUAUCAAUAUAAUUAUAAAUUAUAAAAAAUAUGGCUUGUAAAAACAAAAGAAGGAUUAGAAAAUACAAAGGUAAGUUGUGCAAAUUUAUUUGAACAGUAUAAUUUUGCUGAUAUUAUUUCAGAAGGGUAGAUAAGAGAAUAUAGAAA